GCCUUAGUGGUGUAAUGGUCAGCACACUGAGCCGGUAUUUCAGAGGUCCGCGGUUCGAUUCCCGGCGAAGGCG
rfam:Stegodyphus mimosarum contig23165, whole genome shotgun sequence.